CUCUGCUGCAUAGCUUUCUCUCUCAUGGAAUCCCAUUCUCUGAGAACAUUAUUAUUCCUUACAGUAAUCUUAUCACUUUUCAUUCCAAAUCCAGUAAAUGCUAAAACCAUUUGUGAGUUUCCAGCUAUAUUCAACUUUGGCGACUCGAAUUCUGAUACGGGUGGCUUGUCCGCGGCGUUCGGCCAGGCUGGGCCGCCCAAUGGAGAGUCGUACUUCCAUGGACCAGCAGGGAGGUACUGCGACGGCAGGCUGGUUAUUGAUUUUAUUGGUAAGAACUAAGAAGACCUUUUUUCUUUUGCUUGCAUAUUCAUUAAUACAAAAAGGAUAGAAUAUUUUACUGUUGAAGUUCUUGCAAAUGGUAAUCUGUGCAUGUUUGGCUAAGCUUUUAAGUAACUUCUCGCCGUCUUGUGUGCUUACUACCAAAAUAAGCCAAUUAGUUUGCUGUAAACAAUUUUGUAGCAUUUCUAUCUCAAUUAUAUUCAGAUUUUAAUUGCUGACACACUAUUGACGUCAUUUCAGCCGAGAGCUUGGGACUACCAUAUUUGAACGCUUUCCUUGAUGCAUUAGGCUCAAAUUUCAGCCAUGGUGCCAAUUUCGCGACUGCCGGUUCAACCAUUAGACCCCAAAACACGACUUUACAUCAGAGCGGUUUUAGUCCCUUUUCAUUAAACGUACAAUAUUAUCAAUUCAAUGAUUUUCAACAUAGAUCUCAGAUUAUCCGAAGUAAAGGUAGUUAUUAGCCUUUAAUUACCACGAUUUUUCGGUUAAUUAAUUUACUUAAAUGUCUACUUUCUUAAGCAAUCUCGACAGAACAUGUUAGAAGGGUAAACCAAAACUAACGUGGCAUGCAGUAGUAAUCAAAUUGUUCUUUUUGUGUCAUUAUGAAGGGGGAGUUUUUAAGGGAUUAUUGCCUAAGGACGUUGAUUUUUCGCGCGCCUUGUACACAUUUGAUAUUGGCCAGAAUGAUUUAAGUUCUGGUUAUUUCUCCAACAUGAGCACUGAUCAAGUCAGAGCAUAUGUUCCUGAUGUACUAGAUCAAUUCAAAACCAUUAUUAAGGUAAAGAUAUAUAACAUUCUGAAUUCGAUUCUUGUCACCCGUGUUUAAUAUACGCGCGUGAGUAGUUUAUCAACGAUCCAGCAAAUUUUUUGUCUUUGUUUUGUGCAGCAUAUAUAUGAUAACGGAGGUAGGUCGUUUUGGAUACACAACACUGGACCGGUUGGUUGUCUACCGUACAUUCUGGACCGUAUUCCAAUCACUGCCGGACAAAUUGAUAAGGCUGGAUGCGUGGGUCCUUUUAACGAGGUGGCUCAAUAUUUCAACCGUGGGUUGAAGAAGGCUGUGAUUCGUUUCCGAAAGGAUCUUCCAUUAGCAGCCUUUACUUAUGUUGAUGUCUAUUCUGUCAAGUACAAGUUAAUCAGUCAAGCAGAGAAGUAUGGUUAGUCACUGAACUUGUCUAGUUGUUUUGCUUGGUAAAAUUAGUCACAGAACAUUCAUUUCGAUUUUAGUUUAGGCAUUGUGCAAGCUAGAUUGACGAAAACAGCAUCGAUAAUGGCAAUGGUUGUUGGGGGAGGAGAACCGCACUCGAGAAAAAGAUUGUCACAUCGGCAAUUCUUUUUAUUUAGCUGGAAUGUCUAAAAUGAAAAUCUGGUGACCAAGUCAUUAGUACUUGUAAAAAAAUUGUUGCGAAAGCAAAACAACAACACAAGUUAUGUGACUAACAUAUUUAUACCCGCUCCUUUACCUUCCGCAAAAUCAAGAUUUAAAUUUCAAAGCACGGUGGACUAACAACGAAGAAAAAAAAGUUAAAAUUUGGUCUAUUGUUCUAUUAAGCACGGCAUAUUGACCAUGCUCCAAAUGUUUACAGGGUUCGUCCACCCUCUACGAGCUUGUUGUGGGCAUGGAGGGAGAUACAACUACAAUGUACACUAUGGUUGUGGAAGCAAAAUGAAAGUGAAUGGGAAAGAAGUAAUGGUGGGAAAAUCAUGCAAGGAUCCAUCAGUUGUAAUUAAUUGGGAUGGAGUACACUAUACUGAGGCAGCAAACAAAUGGGUUUUUGAUCAAAUUGUGAAUGGCUCGUUUUCAGAUCCACCAAUUCCCUUGAAAAUGGCUUGCCAUAGGCAAUAAUAAGCUAAUGAAAAUUCUCGUUUUUAUGUUAAGGCAGUGCAUUUUCUUACUGCUAAAUAAGAGGAAUGCAGCUUUUGAAAUCUGUAUGGCUUCAUUCUUGAAUCUUUAUGAUUUCAAGAAUUAGAAUGUAUUAACUUAUUUAUGAUAAUUUGAUGUUUUGAUUCAAGACGUGAUUUGGAG
rnacentral:lncRNA from 1 species